AGUGAACGCUGGCGGUAGGCCUAACACAUGCAAGUCGAACGGCAGCACAGGAGAGCUUGCUCUCUGGGUGGCGAGUGGCGGACGGGUGAGGAAUACAUCGGAAUCUACUCUGUCGUGGGGGAUAACGUAGGGAAACUUACGCUAAUACCGCAUACGACCUACGGGUGAAAGCAGGGGACCUUCGGGCCUUGCGCGAUUGAAUGAGCCGAUGUCGGAUUAGCUAGUUGGCGGGGUAAAGGCACACCAAGGCGACGAUCCGUAGCUGGUCUGAGAGGGUGAUCAGCCACACUGGAACUGUGACACGGUCCAGACUCCUACGGGAGGCAGCAGUGGGGAAUAUUGGACAAUGGGCGCAAGCCUGAUCCAGCCAUACCGCGUGGGUGAAGAAGGCCUUCGGGUUGUAAAGCCCUUUUGUUGGGAAAGAAAUCCAGCUGGCUAAUACCCGGUUGGGAUGACGGUACCCAAAGAAUAAGCACUGGCUAACUUCGUGCCAGCCGCCGCGGUAA
rnacentral:rRNA from 1 species